CCUCCUUUACCAAACUCAUAAUUAUAAUUUACCCUAGCAAAUCUUGUUGUCAUCUAUACCCAUCAGCAAUACCAGUUUAACUUAUGAAACUUGUUCAGAGUCCAAAAUAAUAAGCAUACCUACAGGGAAAAUUUAAAAAAGAAAGCUGUAAGGAGAUGGUACAGAAAGAGGGGGAGUGAAACUGAACUGCAAGAAGUGUCCUAAAACUUGUUAUGAUACUAUUUUCAGGUGUUUGUUGAACAAUUUUUGUUGGAAAUGGCUCCAGCCGAUGAAAGUAACUAAGAAAUUUAUUCCACUUUUUGUAUAGUUAUAUUUUUGGCACUGAGAAGCAGUCCAGAAUGAGUUUUAAUUGAUAAUCUGAUAAAAUGAAUUAUCCAUAGUAGGAAGAAAAAGGAAGUUCAUCCUAUUUCUCUUAAGUACUAUUUUAUGAGUUGGGCCAUCUAUGUGGCAGCAGAGUUGCCUUUUAGUUAUGCAUGUGGAAUACAAAAUAAAAUUUGUUUUCUGGUAGAAAAAGUCCCUGAUUAUGUAAGGAAAGGGUUGCAUUAAAAACAUUCACCAUAAUGAUUUCUGUUGUGUUUUAAGACUAAGUCUGUAGCAUUUUGUGCUUACUGCCAGGUUGAGCUAUACACAGAUCAAGAAACUUAUGGGAUAAUGGGUAAGAAAAUUUCAUCAGCUUUCAUACCUGAAUUAUUUUGCCAGAUAAGCUGUCUGUAUCUUCAUUUUUCCUGUGUAAGCUUUAUGAAUUCUUUGAUAAUAACUGAUUUCAGGAAAAGAGCCUGCACUAA
rnacentral:lncRNA from 1 species